rnacentral:rRNA from 1 species
UACGUAGGCAGCAAGCGUUGUCCGGAAUUACUGGGCGUAAAGAGCUCGUAGGCGGUUUGUCGCGUCUGCCGUGAAAGUCCGGGGCUCAACUCCGGAUCUGCGGUGGGUACGGGCAGACUAGAGUGAUGUAGGGGAGACUGGAAUUCCUGGUGUAGCGGUGAAAUGCGCAGAUAUCGGGAGGAACACCAGUGGCGAAGGCGGCUUUCUGGGCAUUUCCUGACGCUGAGACGCGAAAGCGUGGGGAGCGAACAGG